GGCACUUACAGAAGCAAUAGGGUCUUCAAAAUGCAUCUAGAAUACAGGAGUAAGGAAUCGAUCGUGUAUAAUUUUGUCAUGAAAAAGAAGAAAUCAUAGCAGUAGAGAGUUACCAAUGAUGACAACAAUCCAACACCCCCCUGUCGAUGACAACAUCCAGACAUAUUCCGCAUGUUUCAUUCUCAAAAACAGAAUCAUCCUGAAAUAUUACAAAAAAAAUGCCAUCUCAUAAAAAUAAAAAUAAAAACUAGCCGUCCAGACGGACUGAAAGAUUUUGUACAAAUUUUUCCAAUUUGAGUAUUUCUUGAACUACAGAGUAUUUUUUGGUCGAUUAGGAGCAUCUCGUAGGAUAAAAUAGAUUUGAUCGUUCAACGAAUAUAAAGCGAGAGCGAGGAAAUCCAAUGCGCUGAUUCUAAAAUCAGAGACAUCACAAAACUUUGGCAUUUCAUAUUCGGAUAAAGAAUGAAAUCUGCCGAUGAAUGGCCAACUGAUCAAAAUACAAAAAUGAAUUUUCAUCUAUAUGAGAAGCCCAAACGGCCUGCACCAUGGCAUAAACAUCACCCGUUGGAAGCGUUCUUCCACAAAAUGCGAAAUAUAAUAAAAAAUCCUUUAUUCAUCAUUGGAUGCUGCAUUCCUACAGAAACCAUUGGCAUUACUUGUAAAUAAAAAGAAAACCUCUUCAUGUAUGUUCGUGUGUUUAAAGAAACGAAGAGAUGGGCAUGCAUGACGACUAUGAUUUAAUUGACAACCAAUCAGAGAAUCAAUUUUCCUCACAAGAAUUGCAGUGUUUAAGCCGUUAAGCUAAGUAACUGCUUCGAAAUGGUGACUUCUGUCCGUAUACAGCCAGGCCUAGGAAUCGAAAAGAUAAGGAAAUUACGAAAAAAUCAUCGACUCCAAAUGCCACGUCGUCUGGGCAGUCUUCUGUAGCAUCCUCGAGAUCCAUUACUUUAUCGAGACGUAUCCCUCCGCAGAAUAUAUCUGAAAGCAACGGAACGGCAUGUGAGGAAGGUAGAACUCGAACAAUUUUCGGCUAAGUCCCUCUUAACCCCAAGAACCAGUCCAUUAACCACGAUAACCUCUUCAGCGACACCAAUUCUGAGUAUUCGACAAGAGCAAUUAUAAUAAGAACGCGAACGGCGAUUUCUUGAGGAACACAGUCCGACACAAAAGACCAACCAGAAGCCCCCGGACGGAGAGAAGAUGAUGCAAAACUCAGCAGUCCGACACAAUCUGACAUAAACAAUACGGCCUAGGGUUUCGAUUUUCCCCGACGAGCAAAUGCGGCUGCGACCACUGUGGAAGGAAGAACGUGGAUGGCUGCGUACCCAAGCCGAACCAGGCAGCAGCGGCGAAGAAACGGCUACCCCGUCCUCCCCACGGCAGCUAAUGGCGGCCUCCCAAGAGCCUGCAUUGUUCUGACGCCGCCGACGCAAAAACUCGAGAAAAAAAAAAAAACCUGUUCAGGCCCCCGGCUCAGGACCGGUCCGCCCAAAUAA
rnacentral:lncRNA from 1 species